CCUACGGGAGGCAGCAGUGGGGAAUAUUGGACAAUGGGCGGAACCCUGAUCCAGCGACGCCGCGUGAGUGAAGAAGUAUUUCGGUAUGUAAAGCUCUAUCAGCAGGGAAGAAAGAUAUGACGGUACCUGACUAAGAAGCUGCGGCUACCUACGUACCAGCAGCCGCGGUAAUACGUAGGGGGCAAGCGUGAUUCGGAUUUACGGGGGGGAAAGGGAGCGUAGACGGCGGUGCAAGUCUGAUGUGAAAGGCGUGGGCGCAACCCCCGGACUGCUUUGGAACCUGUAUGGCUGGAGUGAAGGAGAGGGAAGUGGAAUUCCUAGUGUAGCGGUGAAAUGCGUAGAUAUUAGGAGGAACACCAGUGGCGAAGGCGGCUUACUGGACUGUAACUGACGUUGAGGCUCGAAAGCGUGGGGAGCAAACAGGAUUAGAUACCCGAGUAGUC
rnacentral:rRNA from 1 species